GGAAUAUUGCGCAAUGGGGGAAACCCUGACGCAGCGACGCCGUGUGAGUGAUGAAGGCUUUCGGGUCGUAAAGCUCUGUCGGAUGGGACGAAUAAGGGCUGUGUGAAUAAUGCAGUCCGAUGACGGUACCGUCGAAGGAAGCACCGGCUAACUCCGUGCCAGCAGCCGCGGUAAUACGGAGGGUGCAAGCGUUGUUCGGAAUUAUUGGGCGUAAAGAACGUGUAGGCGGGCCUGUGUGUCAGAUGUGAAAGCCCUCGGCUCAACCGAGGAAGUGCAUCUGAAACUGCAGGUCUUGAGUACGAGAGAGGAGAGUGGAAUUCCCAGUGUAGAGGUGAAAUUCAUAGAUAUUGGGAAGAACACCGGCGGCGAAAGCGGCUCUCUGGCUCGAUACUGACGCUGAGACGUGAAAGCGUGGGUAGCAAACAGGAUUAGA
rnacentral:rRNA from 1 species